UACAGAGGGUGCGAGCGUUAAUCGGAAUUACUGGGCGUAAAGGGUGCGUAGGUUGUUAUAAAAAGUUAGAUGUGAAAGUCCUGGGCUUAACCUGGGGACUGCAUAUAAUACUGUAUAGCUAGAGUACUGUAGAGGGAGGUGGAAUUUCCGGUGUAGCGGUGAAAUGCGUAGAUAUCGGAAGGAACAUCAGUGGCGAAGGCGACUUUCUGGACAGAUACUGACACUGAGGCACGAAAGCGUGGGUAGCAAACAGG
rnacentral:rRNA from 1 species